rnacentral:lncRNA from 1 species
AUAUUUUUAAAUUUUAAAUUUUAUACUUUUAAAUUUUAAUUUAUAUAUAUUUUAAAUUUUAAUUUUUAAAUUAUUAUUUUUAAUUAUUUAAAUUUUAAAUUUAAUAUUUUAUAUUUGAAAUUUUAAAAAUUUAUAAUUUGUAAUCUUAAAAUAUAUAUUUAUAUUUUUAAUUUUUAAUUUUUAAUUUUUAAUUUGUUAUUUUUAAUUAUUUAAACUUUAUACUUGUUAGAUUUGAUAUAAAUUUAAUAAUUUUAAAUUUUUAAUUUUGAGAUUUAAAAAUAAAUUUUAAUUUUGAAUCUUUUAAUUUUAAAAGUCAUCUAUUUAAAUUUAAAAUUUUGAAUAUAAAAAAAAAAAUUUAAAAUCAAAUAUAAAAAUUGAGGCAAAAUUAUUAUUUUCUAUUUAUAAGAACCUACUAUCCUUCUUAUUCCAGCUGCUCCAACCAAACACUAUUUUACUGGACUAAAUCCAAUUCUCAACCAAACACAAAAUUACUCUAAAUCCAUCUUAACUCUAAAUUUAACUCUAUCCCUGAAAUAACUAGUUCUUAUUUAAUCCCGAACCAAAUGAAGCCUUAGGAAUUUUCAAGUUACUUAAAGGUGAAAAGUUCGUUAAAUUUAA